GUAAGAACUUGUAUGAGUCAAGCAGAAACAAUGAACCACCCCCACACCCCUGCGUCAGGCACUCUCCGGAAAGACAGGCAAAACAAUAGAAGAGUAGGUGGCCCCAGCUGUUUCUGAAGAUAGCCCUGUGGUUGGUGGAGGUCAGGGUGCCACUGGCCAGGUGGGAUCACAACUUUGUACUUUUUCAGCCAGGAAAGUAAAACCACCAGCCUCAGAACGUGCCCACUGGGCACUGGCUUCUAUUUAAUUAAAACAAUGGUGAAUGGAUAUUCAGCAGCGAAAUGAUGUCUACUACACUCUUAUACUCGUUUCUAACUGUUUCAUUGCAUGGAAUGUGAGUUCUUCUUCUAGGCAGUGUGGCUGGAAACAGGGGCAGAUACACUUGCAUUUGUAAUAGGAGACUUGAAGUUCAAAUCUGCCUCUGCUUUUGGCUUUGGAGUCAUUAUGACCUCUGUAAAGUUGAGUUUCUUAAUCUGAAAACCAAGGACCGAGGUCCUUUCCCUGCAGGACGGGGGUGAGGAGUCUUUGAGGUAAAGCUUGUAAGCACGUGUAACAGGGCCUAUCAUAGGGUAGGUGCCCCCUAGAGGCCCUCCCUCUUCUGAGAGAGAAUAUUCUUAACUUUUCUCCGUCAUAACUUCAGGAGAAUGAUACUCAAAGUCUGAGGACAGGCAGUGGCUGCUGCUGCUGUCACCAGGCACUGGUGAUAUACAAAGGUACAUGCCUGGUAGUUUUCAAGCAUCAUCACACACAUUUUCUAACUUCGUGCUUUGGCACAAAAUCUCCUCGUCCUUUAUGUUGGUUUCCUGCUAAUAGUACCUUCAGUUCCAGAGCUCUGCUUUUCUAGAGCUCCACUCUAUUUUUCUUUGUGAUAAUGUCUUUGAAACUUGCAUGCCGUCUUUCCUGCAUCUAAGGGAUGUUUUACCCAAUUUUAAUUAUUUGGAUAUUUGAGAUUAAUUGACAAAU